UUCCUACGGGCGGCAGCAGUGGGGAAUAUUGGACAAUGGGGGCAACCCUGAUCCAGCCAUGCCGCGUGAGUGAUGAAGGCCUUCGGGUUGUAAAGCUCUUUUGGCGGGGACGAUGAUGACGGUACCCGCAGAAUAAGCCCCGGCUAACUUCGUGCCAGCAGCCGCGGUAAGACGAAGGGGGCUAGCGUUGUUCGGAAUUACUGGGCGUAAAGGGCGCGUAGGCGGUCUUGUCAGUCAGGCGUGAAAGCCCUGGGCUCAACCUGGGAUGUGCGCUUGAUACUGCAAGGCUUGAGUGCAGGAGAGGAUGGUGGAAUUCCCAGUGUAGAGGUGAAAUUCGUAGAUAUUGGGAAGAACACCGGUGGCGAAGGCGGCCAUCUGGACUGCAACUGACGCUGAGGCGCGAAAGCGUGGGGAGCAAACAGGAUUAGAUACCCGAGUAGUCGCC
rnacentral:rRNA from 1 species